rnacentral:rRNA from 1 species
GAUGAACGCUGGCGGCGUGCCUAAUACAUGCAAGUCGAACGAAACUUCUUUAUCACCGAGUGCUUGCACUCACCGAUAAAGAGUUGAGUGGCGAACGGGUGAGUAACACGUGGGCAACCUGCCCAAAAGAGGGGGAUAACACUUGGAAACAGGUGCUAAUACCGCAUAACCAUAGUUACCGCAUGGUAACUAUGUAAAAGGUGGCUAUACUACCGCUUUUGGAUGGGCCCGCGGCGCAUUAGCUAGUUGGUAGGGUAAAGGCUUACCAAGGCAAUGAUGCGUAGCGCAUUUGAGAGCUUGAUCGGCCACAUUGGGACUGAGACACGGCCCAACCCCCUACGGGAGGAAGCAGUAGGGAAUCUUCCACAAUGGGCGAAAGCCUGAUGGAGCAACGCCGCGUGGGUGAAGAAGGUCUUCGGAUCGUAAAACCCUGUUGUUAGAGAAGAAAGUGCGUGAGAGUAACUGUUCACGUUUCGACGGUAUCUAACCAGAAAGCCACGGCUAACUACGUG